rnacentral:rRNA from 1 species
AGGACGAACGCUGGCGGCGUGCCUAAUACAUGCAAGUCGAACGGUCUUUCUAUGGAAGCUUGCUUCCACUGAGAAGAUAGUGGCGAACGGGUGAGUAACACGUGGGUAACCUGCCCAUAAGAGGGGGAUAACAUCCGGAAACGGGUGCUAAUACCGCAUAGUUUUCUUGAUCGCAUGAUCGGGAAAGGAAAGACGGCCUUUGUGCUGUCGCUUAUGGAUGGACCCGCGGCGUAUUAGUUAGUUGGUGAGGUAACGGCUCACCAAGACGAUGAUACGUAGCCGACCUGAGAGGGUGAUCGGCCACAUUGGGACUGAGACACGGCUCAAACUCCUACGGGAGGCAGCAGUAGGGAAUCUUCCGCAAUGGACGAAAGUCUGACGGAGCAACGCCGCGUGAGUGAAAGAAGGUUUUCGGAUCGUAAAACUCUGUUGUCAGAGAAGAACAAGUUGGAGAGUAACUGCUCCAGCCUUGACGGUAUCUGACCAGAAAGCCACGGCUAACUACGUGCCAGCCGCGGC